UCUUAUGGAGGAGCAAAGAAAGUGGUUUCUUGAGAUGGAAUCUAUUGGUGAAGAUGCUGUGAA
rnacentral:pre_miRNA from 4 species